AAACACUUCAGACUAUACCAUGGGUUCAAAGACAAGAGAGACCUACACUGUAGAGGAGCUGCAGCAGCUGGACGCAGACGAUACCGGACGGCGAGAGAGGGCACAGUGGGUGCUGAAUUCUCCUGAUCCACCAGGUCUAUUGCACGAUAUUAUCAGUUCAGUUAAGGACGUUGCCUUCCCUCUUGGACACACAACUGCAAAGCAAACUACCAGUAGACGUGCCGUAUCAUUCUUGAAAGGCCUGUUUCCAAUCCUUAGCUGGGGUAGGGAUUACAGAUUUUCUAAGUUUAAAAACGACCUAAUGGCAGGUUUAGCACUUGCAAGCCUUAGCAUUCCUCAGAGUAUCGGAUAUGCUACUUUAGCAAAACUCGAUCCUCAAUACGGCCUAUACACCAGUUUUAUUCCCCCUCUGAUUUAUGCUCUAAUGGGGAGUUCAAGAGAAAUUGCCAUUGGGCCCGUAGCUGUGGUAUCUAUGCUGCUUUCCUCUAUGAUUCAGGAGAUAGAAGAUCCUGCAACUGACCCUGCUGCAUAUAGAAAGAUGGUUCUAACUGUUACCUUCUUUGCUGGAAUCUUCCAAGCUGUAUUUGGAUUGUUUAGGUUGGGAUUUCUUGUGGACUUUCUUUCACAUGCUGCCAUUGUUGGAUUUAUGGGGGGUGCAGCCAUUGUUAUUGGUCUUCAGCAACUGAAAGGGCUACUUGGGAUCAAUCAUUUCACCAAUAAAACUGAUUUAGUCUCUGUCCUGGAGUCUGUUUUCACAUCAAUAGACCAUCCGUGGUCCCCUCUGAAUUUCGUCCUGGGCUGCUCAUUCCUUAUCUUCCUUCUAAUUGCCAGGUUUAUUGGCAGGAGAAACAAGAAGCUCUUCUGGUUUCCAGUCAUUGCUCCUCUUAUAUCUGUGAUAUUAUCCACUUUGAUAGUGUUCUUGACAAAAGCUGAUAAGCACGGAGUAAAGAUUGUAGAACAAGUCAAAGGAGGCUUGAAUCCAAGUUCAGUCCAUGAAUUACAAUUCAAAGGACCACAUGUUGGACAAGCAGCCAAAUUUGGCCUCAUUUCUGCCAUUGUUGCUCUUACCGAAGCUAUUGCUGUUGGCCGGUCUUUCGCUUCCAUAAAAGGCUAUCACCUUGAUGGGAACAAAGAGAUGUUAGCUAUGGGCUUCAUGAACAUUGCAGGAUCUCUGACUUCCUGUUAUGUGGCAACUGGUUCAUUUUCAAGAACUGCUGUGAAUUUCAGUGCAGGGUGCGAAACUGUAUUAUCCAAUAUAGUGAUGGCUAUUACGGUGUUUUUGUCACUGGAAUUUUUCACUAGGCUCCUGUAUUACACUCCCAUUGCAAUCCUGGCUUCAAUCAUUCUAUCAGCUCUUCCUGGACUCAUUAACAUCCAUGAAGCUUACUACAUCUGGAAGGUUGACAAGCUAGACUUCCUUGCCUGCGUCGGUGCUUUCGUUGGCGUCUUGUUUGCAUCAGUGGAAAUCGGGCUUCUAGCUGCGGUAACCAUCUCAUUUGCCAAGAUAUUGCUAAACUCCAUUCGACCAGGCAUAGAAGAACUUGGAAGACUUCCAAGAACAGAUACCUAUUGUGAGAUAAAUCAAUAUCCCAUGGCCAUCAGAACUCCAGGAAUUUUAGUAGUCCGUGUCAACUCUGCCCUACUUUGCUUUGCUAAUGCCAACUUUGUAAGAGAAAGGAUACUGAGGUGGGUGACAGAAGAAGAGGAUCAUGUAUCUAAUGAAAACACAAAGGAAGGGAUUCAAGCAGUAAUUCUUGACAUGUCCAAUGUAACAAACGUAGACAUUGCAGGAAUUCUUGCACUAGAAGAGCUGCACAAGAAGUUGCUCUCACAUGAAACAGAGUUGGCCAUAGCCAACCCAAGAUGGCAAGUAAUUCACAAGCUAAAGUUGGCGAAAUUCACGGAUAAAGUAGGAAGUGGAAGGAUUUUCUUCACAGUUGCUGAAGCCGUAGCUGCAAGCAUUAGCACUCCCAAUAACUGUUGAUGGAUUUUUGUGGGCUUUUUGCUUAUAUGGAGAAUUUUUUUGUGUAAAAUUUUGUAAGAUCCUAUUUCUAGAUAUGGUUUUGAAGGAUUGUGAUUGUAAGCAUUCUGAGCUCACGUUUGUAGCUGCUUGAUGGCUCAGGAAAACAAGUUAAUAGAGGGGGAAAUGACCGGGGGAAAUGACCGUACAAGGGUGAAUUGGAAACUAAAAUUACUAAAAAUGGGUGUGAUGUGUAAAAUUUACCAGAAAUGGGUGAGAAAAGAAAAGUCAGAGAGUUAAAAACGCUAUUAUUAGUAGCGUUUUAAUGUCCAAAACGCUAUUAACAAUAGCGUUUAAAAAAAACGUAAAAAAC
rnacentral:misc_RNA from 1 species